rnacentral:rRNA from 1 species
AGAUUGAACGCUGGCGGCAUGCUUUACACAUGCAAGUCGAACGGGGUGGUGGGGCAACCCGCCAUUCAGUGGCGAACGGGUGAGUAAUACAUCGGAACGUGUCCCGUAGUGGGGGAUAACCCGGCGAAAGCCGGACUAAUACCGCAUAUGCUCUACGGAGGAAAGCGGGGGACCUGAAAGGGCCUCGCGCUAUGGGAGCGGCCGAUGUCCGAUUAGCUUGUUGGUGGGGUAAUGGCCUACCAAGGCGACGAUCGGUAGCUGGUCUGAGAGGAUGAUCAGCCACACUGGGACUGAGACACGGCCCAGACUCCUACGGGAGGCAGCAGUGGGGAAUUUGGACAAUGGGGGCAACCCUGAUCCAGCCAUGCCGCGUGCGGAGAAGGCCUCGGUUGUAACCGCUUUUAGCCGGAAGAAAGGCACGGUGAAUACCCGUGUCUUGACGUACCGGCGGAAUAGCACCGGCUAACUACGUGCCAGCAGCCGC